CAUAGUUGUAUGCGGAGCUUCCUGAACUCCAACGCUGAAAGGAGGUGAUGGGGGGUAGACUUAGCUGCUGGUUCAUGGACACCUAUGGCUUUCGCAAAUGAAAUCAAACAAUGCGUAGGUCAAGGGUCUGCAUGAACUUGGAGACAGAUCUACCUUUAUCCUUUUUGUUAUUGGAGUGAAGGGAGCUCCGCAGUCAUCUAUAUUCUCUGCAAUGAAAAUGUAUUUGCACACAACAUCGGUAGAUAUUAUCAUGCCAUGACCCUAAUUCAAAGGUUUACUGAUCUCCAGAAGGUCGGAGAUACAGUAUAUGAUCCUAAUUGAAUGGUUUAAAGCUUCAAUAUGUAGUUGUAUGUGCGGGAGAUACACGACACUUAUUCUAAUGAAUUGUUUGCGUGGCUUUCCUAAGAUAUGACAUUAAGUAUGGGUCCAUUUCUGGCCGAGAAAAGUAUGGGUCCAUGUAUAAUGUUUCAGUUUUUAUUGCAGGUGACAAGUAUUUCCGUGCCUCUCCGAUUGUUUGAUUUUGAUUGAUGAUGUACAAGGUGGAGGAUUUUUUUUCUUUAUACAAAAGAAUUUAGAGGAAAUUUACAGAGCCGAAACAAGGCCUAUAGCUUGAGAGUGUUUACAGUUUACUUGUACUGUAAACUUGUGCAAAAUAAAUACAACUUUUUAUUGGAAGAAUACUAAUGAAGAAUCCCUGAAAAAAUUUAAUAUUUGAUAAAAAUUUCACUUCUUGGUGGUUAA